rnacentral:rRNA from 1 species
AUCACUUGUUCUUUAAAUGAGGACUCGUAUCAACGGCAUCACGAGGAUCCUACUGUCUCCCCCCUCUAAUCGGUGAAACUGAUCUCUCCGUGAAGAAGCGGAGAUGUACAUAUAAGACGAGAAGACCCCAUGGAGCUUUAAACCCAACAACACCCGCCCCCCUCCAAAUCCUAUUAUUUACCCGGUGAUUGUUUGUUUGGUUUUAGGUUGGGGUGACCGCGGAGUAUAAGAUAUCCUCCAUGAAAAAAAGCUAACUGCCCUUAUUAGAGAAAGACACUUCCAAAAAAUAAUAAAUUAAUUUUAAAUGAUCCGACAUUCGAUCAACGAACCAAGUUACCCUGGGGAUAACAGCGCAAUCCGUCCCGAGAGCCCCUAUCGACAGGCGGGUUUACGACCUCGAUGUUGGAUCAGGGUAUCCCAGUGGUGCAGCAGCUACUAAAGGUUCGUUUGUUCAACGAUUAAACCCU